GUUUGAUCAUGGCUCAGAUUGAACGCUGGCGGCAGGCUUAACACAUGCAAGUCGAGCGGAGAGAGGUAGCUUGCUACUGAUCUUAGCGGCGGACGGGUGAGUAAUGCUUAGGAAUCUGCCUAUUAGUGGGGGACAACAUUUCGAAAGGAAUGCUAAUACCGCAUACGUCCUACGGGAGAAAGCAGGGGAUCUUCGGACCUUGCGCUAAUAGAUGAGCCUAAGUCGGAUUAGCUAGUUGGUGGGGUAAAGGCCUACCAAGGCGACGAUCUGUAGCGGGUCUGAGAGGAUGAUCCGCCACACUGGGACUGAGACACGGCCCAGACUCCUACGGGAGGCAGCAGUGGGGAAUAUUGGACAAUGGGCGCAAGCCUGAUCCAGCCAUGCCGCGUGUGUGAAGAAGGCCUUAUGGUUGUAAAGCACUUUAAGCGAGGAGGAGGCUACUUUAGUUAAUACCUAGAGAUAGUGGACGUUACUCGCAGAAUAAGCACCGGCUAACUCUGUGCCAGCAGCCGCGGUAAUACAGAGGGUGCAAGCGUUAAUCGGAUUUACUGGGCGUAAAGCGCGCGUAGGCGGCUAAUUAAGUCAAAUGUGAAAUCCCCGAGCUUAACUUGGGAAUUGCAUUCGAUACUGGUUAGCUAGAGUGUGGGAGAGGAUGGUAGAAUUCCAGGUGUAGCGGUGAAAUGCGUAGAGAUCUGGAGGAAUACCGAUGGCGAAGGCAGCCAUCUGGCCUAACACUGACGCUGAGGUGCGAAAGCAUGGGGAGCAAACAGGAUUAGAUACCCUGGUAGUCCAUGCCGUAAACGAUGUCUACUAGCCGUUGGGGCCUUUGAGGCUUUAGUGGCGCAGCUAACGCGAUAAGUAGACCGCCUGGGGAGUACGGUCGCAAGACUAAAACUCAAAUGAAUUGACGGGGGCCCGCACAAGCGGUGGAGCAUGUGGUUUAAUUCGAUGCAACGCGAAGAACCUUACCUGGCCUUGACAUAGUAAGAACUUUCCAGAGAUGGAUUGGUGCCUUCGGGAACUUACAUACAGGUGCUGCAUGGCUGUCGUCAGCUCGUGUCGUGAGAUGUUGGGUUAAGUCCCGCAACGAGCGCAACCCUUUUCCUUAUUUGCCAGCGAGUAAUGUCGGGAACUUU
rnacentral:rRNA from 1 species